CCCUUAGAUGUUCUGGGCCGCACGCGCGCUACACUGAUGAAUUCAACGAGUAUACUUUCCGUUCGCGGAAACUCCUUGGUUGAGAUGCCUAGGUAAUCUUUUAAAUGUUCAUCGUGAUGGGGCUAGAUUAUUGCAAUUAUUAAUCUUAAACGAGGAAUUCCUAGUAAACGCAAGUCAUCAGCUUGCAUUGAUUACGUCCCUGCCCUUUGUACACACCGCCCGUCGCACCUACCGAUUGAAUGGUCCGGUGAAAUCUCGGGACGGCGGCUUGGUCGCUUGCGUCCGACUGCUGAAACUUGAUUAAACCAUAUCAUUUAGAGGAAGGUGAAGUCGUAACA
rnacentral:rRNA from 1 species